rnacentral:rRNA from 1 species
UUAUAUAUCUAAAAUUAAUUAAUAAGAAAUUAAAUGAAAACAUUAAAUUUAAAAAAUUUGGCGGUAUUUUAAAUAGUUAGAGGAAUUUGUUAAGUAAAUGAUAAUCCACGAGUAGAUGGUCUUAAUAAAAUUUUUAUGUAUUGUUGUAUGAAAAUUAUUUUAUAAAAAUAAUAAUUAAUAUAUUUAAUUUAAUUUUAAUUCAAAUCAAAAUGUAGAAUAGUUAAGAUAGUAUGAAUUACAGUUUAAUUUAAUAAUGGAGUUAUUUUUUUAAUUAAAAUAGUGAAAUAGGAUUUAAAAGUAAAUUUAAAUAAAUUUUUAAAUUGAAAUAUAAAUUAAAAUAUG